GACGAACGCUGGCGGCGUGCUUAACACAUGCAAGUCGAACGGAAAGGCCCUGCUUUUGUGGGGUGCUCGAGUGGCGAACGGGUGAGUAACACGUGAGUAACCUGCCCUUGACUUUGGGAUAACUUCAGGAAACUGGGGCUAAUACCGGAUAGGAGCUCCUGCUGCAUGGUGGGGGUUGGAAAGUUUCGGCGGUUGGGGAUGGACUCGCGGCUUAUCAGCUUGUUGGUGGGGUAGUGGCUUACCAAGGCUUUGACGGGUAGCCGGCCUGAGAGGGUGACCGGACACAUUGGGACUGGGAUACGACCCAGACUCCAACGGGAGGCAGCGGUGGGGAAUAGAGCACAAUGGGCUGAAGCCUGAUGCAGCAACGCAGCGUGCGGGAUGACGGCCUUCGGUUUGGAAACCGCUUUCGCCUGUGACGAAGCGUGAGUGACGGUAAUGGGUAAAGAAGCACCGGCUAACUACGUG
rnacentral:rRNA from 1 species